UACGGGAGGCAGCAGUGGGGAAUUUUGGACAAUGGGCGCAAGCCUGAUCCAGCAAUGCCGCGUGUGUGAAGAAGGCCUUCGGGUUGUAAAGCACUUUUGUCCGGAAAGAAAACUUCGGGGUUAAUACCCCUGGAGGAUGACGGUACCGGAAGAAUAAGCACCGGCUAACUACGUGCCAGCAGCCGCGGUAAUACGUAGGGUGCGAGCGUUAAUCGGAAUUACUGGGCGUAAAGCGUGCGCAGGCGGUCCGCUAAGACCGAUGUGAAAUCCCCGGGCUUAACCUGGGAACUGCAUUGGUGACUGGCGGGCUAGAGUAUGGCAGAGGGGGGUAGAAUUCCACGUGUAGCAGUGAAAUGCGUAGAGAUGUGGAGGAAUACCGAUGGCGAAGGCAGCCCCCUGGGCCAAUACUGACGCUCAUGCACGAAAGCGUGGGGAGCAAACAGGAUUAGAUACCCUGGUAGUCCACGCCCUAAACGAUGUCAACUAGUUGUCGGGUCUUCAUUGACUUGGUAACGUAGCUAACGCGUGAAGUUGACCGCCUGGGGAGUACGGUCGCAAGAUUAAAACUCAAAGGAAUUGACGGGGACCCGCACAAGCGGUGGAUGAUGUGGAUUAAUUCGAUGCAACGCGAAAAACCUUACCUACCCUUGACAUGUAUGGAAUCCUGCUGAGAGGUGGGAGUGCCCGAAAGGGAGCCAUAACACAGGUGCUGCA
rnacentral:rRNA from 1 species